rnacentral:lncRNA from 1 species
CGCGCAGGCGCCUGGGAGCCCAUUCAUUCGAACUGCGUAACAAUGAGCCCCGGGGCCCAGCGGCCUCCUCAACCGAAACUUUCCUACUUACCAAACCCGUCGCCAUUACCAAGUCUUUCAAGCUUCGUCUUCCCCCUCCCCUCAACCCCCUGGGGGCAGUCUUGAUAGUAAACAAGAGUCAUAGGGACACGUGUAUCAGCUCGUUUGUUUUGGUGUCUGGGACAAAAGGGAGGGGGCGGAGGAAGGGA